UGGUUCUGGCAUNGAUGAAGAACGCAGCGAAAUGCGAUAAGUAAUGCGAAUUGCAGAAUUCCGUGAGUCAUCGAAUCUUUGAACGCACAUUGCGCCCCUUGGUAUUCCGGAGGGCAUGCCUGUCCGAGCGUCAUUAUCUAUCUCAAGCCCUAGCUUGCUGUUGGGGUCACCGCAAUGGUGUCUCUAAAACACAGCGGCGGCACCGCUAUGGUCGCGACGCAACGAGCUUCGGCACGCGUCUCGCCUAGAGUGGUCCGCCCAUUCAAACCCAUGAGUUGACCUCGGAUCAGACAGGAUUACCCGCUGA
rnacentral:misc_RNA from 1 species